GCGGAGAGAUGGCAGAGUGGUCGAUUGCGACGGUCUUGAAAACCGUUGACUGUCAAAGGUCCGGGGUUCGAAUCCUCUCUCUCCGCA
rnacentral:tRNA from 1 species